rnacentral:lncRNA from 1 species
GAUUAACAGCAAAAGUAGGCGAGACACUGGGUUCCGCGGAACCCUUACAAAUUUUUAGUAUUUUGUAGUAAUUGGUAAGAUUAGAAAAAUAAUCCUUUUACAUUUCAUCACCCGAUUAAAACAUCCAGGGCCGUAACUACAUUGAGGCAAAUGAGGCAAAUGACUCAUGUUACAAACUUCAAAAAAAAAAAAAUGAAACAAAAGAUUGUCUUUAUAUUGUUUGCUGUUCUGUAUGCCGGGUUUGUCUUUAGUUCAUUUAUUGUCCUACUAUAUGACUAUAGUCUGUGUUUUGAUUUUCAUUUGUAAACGUAAGGUUUUGCAAUGCUGCAUGUCCACCGAUGUCCAGACAUUGACUUUUGUGCGAGGAAAUGUUUUAAGAAUAUACGAUGCUACUGGACACAGAUAAAAUAUUGUUGUUUCUGCAUGGAGAAUUG